rnacentral:rRNA from 1 species
UACGUAGGGUCCGAGCGUUGUCCGGAUUUAUUGGGCGUAAAGAGCUCGUAGGCGGUUUGUCGCGUCUGCUGUGAAAAUCCAGGGCUUAACCCUGGACCUGCAGUGGGUACGGGCAGACUAGAGUGCGGUAGGGGAGAUCGGAAUUCCUGGUGUAGCGGUGAAAUGCGCAGAUAUCAGGAGGAACACCGGUGGCGAAGGCGGAUCUCUGGGCCGUAACUGACGCUGAGGAGCGAAAGCAUGGGGAGCGAACAGG